rnacentral:rRNA from 1 species
UACGAAGGGGGCUAGCGUUGCUCGGAAUUACUGGGCGUAAAGGGCGCGUAGGCGGAUAGUUUAGUCAGAGGUGAAAGCCCAGGGCUCAACCUUGGAAUUGCCUUUGAUACUGGCUAUCUUGAGUUCGGGAGAGGUGAGUGGAAUGCCGAGUGUAGAGGUGAAAUUCGUAGAUAUUCGGCGGAACACCAGUGGCGAAGGCGACUCACUGGCCCGAUACUGACGCUGAGGUGCGAAAGCGUGGGGAACAAACAGG